UACCUUGUUACGACUUCACCCCAAUCACUGACCAUACCUUAAGAACCUGCCUCCCUUGCGGGUUAGCGCGGCUACUUCUAGUACAGCCAGCUUUCGUGAUGUGACGGGCGGUGUGUACAAGGCCCGGGAACGUAUUCACCGCGGCGUGCUGAUCCGCGAUUACUAGCGAUUCCAACUUCAUGCAGGCGAGUUGCAGCCUACAAUCCGAACUGAGACCGGCUUUCUCCGAUUAGCUCACCCUCGCGAGUUUGCAACGGUUUGUACCGGCCAUUGUAGCACGUGUGUGGCCCCAGACAUAAAGGCCAUGCUGACUUGACGUCAUCCCCACCUUCCUCCGGUUUGUCACCGGCAGUCUCUUCAGAGUGCCCGGCUUGACCCGAUGGCAACAGAAGACAAGGGUUGCGCUCGUUGCGGGACUUAACCCAACAUCUCACGACACGAGCUGACGACAGCCAUGCAGCACCUCGACAGAUGCCCCUGCGGGAGCCUACUUUCGUAGGAUGUCAUCUGCCGUUCGAGCCUGGGUAAGGUUCUUCGCGUUGCGUCGAAUUAAACCACAUGCUCCACCGCUUGUGCGGGGCCCCCGUCAAUUCCUUUGAUUUCAGAAUUGCGACCGUACUCCCCAGGCGGAAUGCUUAACGCGUUUAUUUCU
rnacentral:rRNA from 1 species